rnacentral:sRNA from 1 species
CCUCAUCUUUGGGGCCAUCACCUGCUUUACGGGAUUUCUGGGCGUGGUCACGGGGGCAGGAGCCACGCGCUGGUGCCGCCUGAAGACCCAGCGGGCCGACCCACUGGUGUGUGCCGUGGGCAUGCUGGGCUCUGCCAUCUUCAUCUGCCUGAUCUUCGUGGCUGCCAAGAGCAGCAUCGUAGGAGCCUAUAUCUGUAUCUUCGUCGGGGAGACGCUGCUGUUUUCUAACUGGGCCAUCACUGCAGACAUCCUCAUGUACGUGGUCAUCCCCACGCGGCGCGCCACUGCCGUGGCCUUGCAGAGCUUCACCUCCCACCUGCUGGGGGACGCCGGGAGCCCCUACCUCAUUGGCUUUGUGAGUAGCCCCGGGGUGGGGCUGGCCGGGGGAGGCUGGGGGUCUUCAGGAGGGCUCUGCCCUGACCUCCACCCCCAAAUCCUCGCAGAUCUCAGACCUGAUCCGCCAGAGCACCAAGGACUCCCCGCUCUGGGAGUUCCUGAGCCUGGGCUACGCGCUCAUGCUCUGCCCUUUCGUUGUGGUCCUGGGCGGCAUGUUCUUCCUCGCCACUGCGCUCUUCUUCGUCAGCGACCGCGCCAGGGCUGAGCAGCAGGUGAACCAGCUGACGAUGCCGCCCGCAUCUGUGAAAGUCUGAGGUGGUGCCAUUGGGACAAUGAAGAACCCACACUCCCACCUCGUCUGGGAGGUGUCCUACAGCGUCCGGGACCGGCUGGGCUGCCCCAAAGCUUUCUGUGUGAUCCACGGCUAGGCACCCACCCUCUCUGGCCCAGGCCUGCUGAGUGGCCCUGGCAUCAAGAAGAGGCUGUGUCCUCAGUUACCCUGGAAGGAUGUGUGUGUUGGAGCCACACGGUUGGACAGAUUCCCAGCCCUAGGUUUGGACCGCAG